rnacentral:misc_RNA from 1 species
GCAAUGGCUGUUGCAUACCCUCAAUUUUUUGGGACAAAGAAAGUUGACACUUCAUUGAUGGUGUCAUCAUCUUCCUCUGUUUCCCCUGUUAUUUUAUCUCAAGAUGAGUUGAAAAAGAUAGCUGCUUAUAAAGCUGUGGAGUUUGUGGAGUCUGGUAUGGUUGUUGGUUUAGGUACAGGGUCAACAGCAAAGCAUGCUGUUGAUAAAAUAGCUGAGCUUUUACAUAGUGGUAAGUUAAAGAACAUUGUAGGGAUUCCCACUUCAAAGAUUACUCAUGAACAAGCUGUUUCACUUGGUAUCCCUUUAUCAGAUCUGAAUAAACAUCCUAUUGUUGAUUUAGCUAUUGAUGGUGCUGAUGAAGUUGACCCUCAAAUGAAUUUGGUUAAAGGGAGAGGAGGGUCAUUGCUUAGGGAGAAAAUGGUUGAGGCUGCUACUAAGAAGUUUAUUGUUAUUGUUGAUGAGUCAAAAUUGGUGAAUUACAUAGGUGGUAGUGGACUUGCUAUGCCUGUUGAGAUUGUUCCCUUUUGUUGGGAGUUUACAUUGAAGAGGCUUGAGAUGUUGUUUAUUGAAGCUGGAUGUGUUGGAAAGUUGAGAACAACAGGUGGAGGUGGAGAUGAAGAGCCUUAUGUUACUGAUAAUGGUAAUUAUAUUAUUGAUUUGUAUUUCAAGAAGGAUAUGGGUGAUUUGAAAGAUGCAAGUGAUGCAAUUUUGAGACUUGCUGGUGUUGUUGAGCAUGGCAUGUUUAUUGAUAUGGCUACUACUGUGAUUGUUGCUGGAAAACUUGGUGUCUCUGUGACUAAUAAGUUAUAGGGAGAAGGUUUCAAUUUUGAUUAGUUGUUAUCUUUUAGGAGCCUUAGCUGAGGUAUUAGGAUGUUGGGGGUGGGGGAUGGGGGUCUUGCUAAAACAUUUAUGUGGCAAGUAUAAAAUCUUGGUGUUUU